rnacentral:rRNA from 1 species
CCUACGGGUGGCAGCAGUGAGGAAUAUUGGUCAAUGGACGAGAGUCUGAACCAGCCAAGUAGCGUGAAGGAUGACUGCCCUAUGGGUUGUAAACUUCUUUUAUAAAGGAAUAAAACGAGGCACGUGUGCCUUUUUGCAUGUACUUUAUGAGUAAGGAUCGGCUAACUCCGUUCCAGCAGCCGCGGUAAUACGGAGGAUCCGAGCGUUAUCCGGAUUUAUUGGGUUUAAAGGGAGCGUAGAUGGGUUGUUAAGUCAGUUGUGAAAGGUUGCGGCUCAACCGUAAAAUUGCAAUUGAUACUGGCAGUCUUGAGUACAGUUGAGGUAGGCGGAAUUCGUGGUGUAGCGGUGAAAUGCUUAGAUAUCACGAAGAACCCCGAUUGCGAAGGCAGCUUACUAAACUGUGACUGACAUUGAUGCUCGAAAGUGUGGGUAUCAAACAGGAUUAGAUACCCCUGUAGUC